CGAUGAUGCCCAGCUUGCUGGGUGGAUUAGUGGCGAACGGGUGAGUAACACGUGAGUAACCUGCCCCUGACUCUGGGAUAAGCGUUGGAAACGACGUCUAAUACUGGAUAUGACUGCCGGCCGCAUGGUCUGGUGGUGGAAAGAUUUUUUGGUUGGGGAUGGACUCGCGGCCUAUCAGCUUGUUGGUGAGGUAAUGGCUCACCAAGGCGACGACGGGUAGCCGGCCUGAGAGGGUGACCGGCCACACUGGGACUGAGACACGGCCCAGACUCCUACGGGAGGCAGCAGUGGGGAAUAUUGCACAAUGGGCGAAAGCCUGAUGCAGCAACGCCGCGUGAGGGAUGACGGCCUUCGGGUUGUAAACCUCUUUUAGUAGGGAAGAAGCGAAAGUGACGGUACCUGCAGAAAAAGCACCGGCUAACUACGUGCCAGCAGCCGCGGUAAUACGUAGGGUGCAAGCGUUGUCCGGAAUUAUUGGGCGUAAAGAGCUCGUAGGCGGUUUGUCGCGUCUGCUGUGAAAUCCCGAGGCUCAACCUCGGGCUUGCAGUGGGUACGGGCAGACUAGAGUGCGGUAGGGGAGAUUGGAAUUCCUGGUGUAGCGGUGGAAUGCGCAGAUAUCAGGAGGAACACCGAUGGCGAAGGCAGAUCUCUGGGCCGUAACUGACGCUGAGGAGCGAAAGCAUGGGGAGCGAACAGGAUUAGAUACCCUGGUAGUCCAUGCCGUAAACGUUGGGCGCUAGAUGUAGGGACCUUUCCACGGUUUCUGUGUCGUAGCUAACGCAUUAAGCGCCCCGCCUGGGGAGUACGGCCGCAAGGCUAAAACUCAAAGGAAUUGACGGGGGCCCGCACAAGCGGCGGAGCAUGCGGAUUAAUUCGAUGCAACGCGAAGAACCUUACCAAGGCUUGACAUACACCGGAAACGGCCAGAGAUGGUCGCCCCCUUGUGGUCGGUGUACAGGUGGUGCAUGGUUGUCGUCAGCUCGUGUCGUGAGAUGUUGGGUUAAGUCCCGCAACGAGCGCAACCCUCGUUCUAUGUUGCCAGCGCGUUAUGGCGGGGACUCAUAGGAGACUGCCGGGGUCAACUCGGAGGAAGGUGGGGAUGACGUCAAAUCAUCAUGCCCCUUAUGUCUUGGGCUUCACGCAUGCUACAAUGGCCGGUACAAAGGGCUGCGAUACCGUAAGGUGGAGCGAAUCCCAAAAAGCCGGUCUCAGUUCGGAUUGAGGUCUGCAACUCGACCUCAUGAAGUCGGAGUCGCUAGUAAUCGCAGAUCAGCAACGCUGCGGUGAAUACGUUCCCGGGCCUUGUACACACCGCCCGUCAAGUCAUGAAAGUCGGUAACACCCGAAGCCGGGGCCUAACCCU
rnacentral:rRNA from 1 species